rnacentral:rRNA from 1 species
AUUGAACGCUGGCGGCAUGCCUUACACAUGCAAGUCGAACGGUAACAGGUCUACGGAUGCUGACGAGUGGCGAACGGGUGGGUAAUACAUCGGAACGUGCCUAGUAGUGGGGGAUAACUACUCGAAAGAGUGGCUAAUACCGCAUGAGAUCUACGGAUGAAAGCAGGGGAUCGCAAGACCUUGUGCUACUAGAGCGGCCGAUGGCAGAUUAGGUAGUUGGUGGGAUAAAAGCUUACCAAGCCGACGAUCUGUAGCUGGUCUGAGAGGACGAUCAGCCACACUGGGGCUGAGAAACGGCCCAGACUCCUACGGGAGGCAGCAGUGGGGAAUUUUGGACAAUGGGCGCAAGCCUGAUCCAGCAAUGCCGCGUGCAGGAUGAAGGCCUUCGGGUUGUAAACUGCUUUUGUACGGAACGAAAAGCCCCGGGUUAAUACCCUGGGGUCAUGACGGUACCGUAAGAAUAAGCACCGGCUAACUACGUGCCAGCAGCCGCCGUAA